rnacentral:rRNA from 1 species
GAUGAACGCUGGCGGCGUGCCUAAUACAUGCAAGUCGAGCGAACGGACGAGAAGCUUGCUUCUCUGAUGUUAGCGGCGGACGGGUGAGCAACACGUGGAUAACCUACCUAUAAGACUGGGAUAACUUCGGGAAACCGUAGCUAAUACCGGAUAAUAUUUUGAACCGCAUGGUUCAAAAGUGAAAGACGGUCUUGCUGUCACUUAUAGAUGGAUCCGCGCUGCAUUAGCUAGUUGGUAAGGUAACGGCUUACCAAGGCAACGAUGCAUAGCCGACCUGAGAGGGUGAUCGGCCACACUGGAACUGAGACACGGUCCAGACUCCUACGGGAGGCAGCAGUAGGGAAUCUUCCGCAAUGGGCGAAAGCCUGACGGAGCAACGCCGCGUGAGUGAUGAAGGUCUUCGGAUCGUAAAACUCUGUUAUUAGGGAAGAACAUAUGUGUAAGUAACUGUGCACAUCUUGACGGUACCUAAUCAGAAAGCCACGGCUAACUACGUG